UACGUAGGGUGCAAGCGUUAAUCGGAAUUACUGGGCGUAAAGCGUGCGCAGGCGGUUUGAUAAGCCAGAUGUGAAAUCCCCGAGCUCAACUUGGGAACUGCGUUUGGAACUGUCAGACUAGAGUGCGUCAGAGGGGGGUGGAAUUCCGCGUGUAGCAGUGAAAUGCGUAGAGAUGCGGAGGAACACCGAUGGCGAAGGCAGCCCCCUGGGAUGACACUGACGCUCAUGCACGAAAGCGUGGGGAGCAAACAGG
rnacentral:ncRNA from 3 species